GAAUGAAAGGACAAGUUACAGAAUGGGAGAAAAAAUUUGCAGAAGACAUAUCUGAUAAUGAACUGUUAUCCAAAACAUACAAAGAACUCUUAAAACUCAACAAUAAGAAAAUCAA